rnacentral:lncRNA from 1 species
UUGGAGGACGAACACUUGGGCAUCUAGUAAAAAUUAGAAUAAGCGUUAUAGGUAUUCUUCUUGUCCAUGUUUAUUGUUGGGUAUAAAAUAACCUCAGCCGAAGUUCGUAAGAGGCCGACCCUCCCGGGCUCUUCCAGCUUCCGACCUUGUGCGGCAUCUUUCUGAACUCCCCCGACUGUCUGAACUUCCAUAAUACCAUCCAGACUCCCCCAGC